rnacentral:rRNA from 1 species
UUUUGACCUCGGAUCAGGUAGGGAUACCCGCUGAACUUAAGCAUAUCAAUAAGGCGGGAGGACCUUGUUAC